CUAUCACGGGAGGAAACUCCGGGCAGCUGUUCUGGGGGGUGCCCAGGAAAACUUUGUCGCUGUGAAUUAAUGGAACCUGCGAAGGUUUGCGCCAAGAAGGGGCAGGAAAGGAGAGAAUCCACUUUCAGUAGUGGUGACCGGCGACCGCCCCCCUUCAACUUCGGAGACGGCAGAAACGUGGGCCAGCAAGGUCUCGGGGCCCCGCAGCGCUUGGAGCAGGCGCACACAGGCCCAGCCCUCCUUGCACCACCAGGAGGUUCAGGCGGCCCCUUCCAUGACUGGCGCGGGGGAGGAGGCCCACCAGGAGCGCUGGGCCCGGGAAAGGAUCCGGGAGGGAGAGGCGAGGGUCAGCCAGGGCAGCCACGCAUUCUCCUGCUCGCUGCUUGCCCCUUUGGAGCCUCGGGCUCUGCCUGCCCACCCCUUGGCCAAGGGCCUCCUCCCGCUUCGGGUAUGGUGCUCUGUAGGGGAACCGCCCGUCGGGAGUCCGGUGUCCCUCCCGCUCCACCGUGGUGCAGCCCCUGCUCCUCCCUCCCUUGUUUGUGGUCAAGGGCAAGGUUGUUUUUUUUCCUAUCAACCCAAUCCUGCUUGGCAACGUUGUCUGUUCCUAAUAAGACAGGUGAGGUAUGUGAGAAGAUGAGGUCUCCAACCAUCUGGACCAAAAUGCCUGCUUGCUUGCUCGCCCGGUGUGUCUUUUCCUGAGAGGGACUCUCUGUGAUCACAGUACAAAAAAGCAAGUCCACAGCACUCUUCGGCUGUUGGUUUGCAAUUAACUGGGGUUAAGCAACACCCCCACCACCCUCACAAGAGCAAGGCAGAAGAAGGAGUGCCAGCAGGAGAACAUUUCGGGAAGCUGGGCUUUGCCAUGGUUCUCCCUUCAGAGCAGGAAGGGAGAGGAGGGAAAGCGGAGGGACGGGAGCCCCCCUCCCCACCAAGCUGCUUGGAAGAACAUCUCCAGAGCAAGCCAAGACUCUAGCGGAGGUUGGAAGAGGAACACCACUGAUGCCACAGCUCCCCACUCCAGCUGUGACAUCAAGGCUCUGGUGUUGCAGCCCCUGCCCACCUCCCUCGCCUGCUGCAGCGGAGUGCUUCCUCCCUCAAGCCUAGUGAGGGGCCGCGGCCGUUUGCGACAGUCUGCCCAGUCCCCAGCCUUCUCUUUACCAGGCGAGCAGGAGAGAGACCAGUUCAGAGCGGCUUCGCAGCGCCAGAGGAAGGGACAAGCCACCUUGCACUCUUGUGCUGAGAAGGACACUGCCAAGUGCUGGGCGGGGUGGCCUUCCAGGGGACAGCCCCGGCUGGUGAAGCCAAGAGGAGGGAAGUCAGCUGGCCACCCGGCCCACUAACUGCCCUUGCCCCCCCCAGGGCAGUGUCUUCUUCCAUAAGCAGUCUAGACGUCCCAGGUCCAGGAUGCGACUCAGCAGGCAGCUUUGCAGGGAUUCGCUUGGCUUUAAAAGAGACAGACUGACUAGCUGAAGGUCUCUCUCUCUCUCUCUCUCUCUCUCUCCCUCCCUCCCUGUUGAGCUGGCCCAGGGCCUGGGCAAGGACAGGGAGGAAAGCUGUGCCCCCGCAGCGUCUUAUCUUUCUGCCACCUUAUGCUCCUGCGCCAGACGUCAGGGAGUGGCAGGUUGGCUGGACGCUGGACGCUGCCCCCACAAAGGCUCCUGGCUGGCCUUCACAAUCCCUUUGCAGAGCGUCGCUUCUCGAGCCAGUGGCUUGAAGCGGGUGGGAUUCCACAGGACCCGAGUCUUGUUCUUGGCCAGGGCAGUUCGUGUGGCCCUUUGCUGGCUUGUGGGAGCAGAUGAACCUCCGACAAGGGCGACCCCCAUGAAUGGCAGAUUUUGCCUGAAAUUCAUAUCCACAGUCCUGCUGUUGAGAGACUGAGUGUGAAAGUCAGGGGGAAAAACAUUUCAGCGUGUUACAAGAACAUUUGAAUUUUGAAAGUUAUUUGUAAAUAUUGAUUUUGCUUGAGCUUCUUUCUUCACUGAUUACCUGAUUGUGUGUAUGAUAUGAUGAGCUGCUGGUCUUCUAUUAUCCUGUGUUUGAAGGAUGUGAGUUUUUCUGUUCUGCUGUUAACAGCAAGUAAGAUCAAUUCACCUUCCAGCUUGUAUUAAUUUGCAAGCCAAAUAUAAGCCUUCUGAAGCACAUUUAUUUUUGCCAAUCUUAGUGUGCUAAGGUUUAUUUUUAUUUAUUUAUGUUUCAAAUUUAGAUACCACCCAUCUCAUGAAACAGUGA